rnacentral:rRNA from 1 species
AGGGUUUGAUUAUGGCUCAGGAUGAACGCUGGCGGCGUGCCUAACACAUGCAAGUCGAGCGAAGCGAUCGAGAUGAAGUUUUCGGAUGGAUUCCUGAUUGACUGAGCGGCGGACGGGUGAGUAACGCGUGGGUAACCUGCCUCAUACAGGGGGAUAACAGUUAGAAAUGACUGCUAAUACCGCAUAAGCGCACAGUACCACAUGGUACGGUGUGAAAAACUCCGGUGGUAUGAGAUGGACCCGCGUCUGAUUAGCUAGUUGGUGGGGUAACGGCCCACCAAGGCGACGAUCAGUAGCCGACCUGAGAGGGUGAUCGGCCACAUUGGGACUGAGACACGGCCCAA